GCACCCGUAGUUCAGAGGACAGAACGCUUCCCUCCGAAGGAAGAGGCCGCUGGUUCAAAUCCAGCCGGGCGCA
rnacentral:tRNA from 1 species